rnacentral:rRNA from 1 species
GACGUAGGGGGCGAGCGUUGUCCGGAUUCAUUGGGCGUAAAGCGUGCGUAGGCGGCUGCGCAAGUCGGUUGUGAAACCCCGGGGCUCAACCCCGGAACUGCAUCCGAUACUGCGUGGCUAGAGGUAGGUAGGGGAGAUCGGAAUUCCUGGUGUAGCGGUGAAAUGCGCAGAUAUCAGGAGGAACACCGGUGGCGAAGGCGGAUCUCUGGGCCGGUACUGACGCUGAGGAGCGAAAGCGUGGGGAGCGAACAGG